AUUUUUCUUUUUGAUUACAGAAAAACCUCAAAGGAAAUGCAGAAUGAGAUAGCAGCCUUGGGAACAGGAAACAGCCAACAAGAGGAGCAGAUGGGCAGCCAUGCAAAACCUCCCACUCAAAAGAUGUCCACGGUGAAGCUGACCCAGAAAUCAAUGACCGGCUACUUAAAAAAGAGCUCUUCCUGGCUUAGGAACUCUUCACAACUGUUUGGCAGGCUCUUACUAUGCUUUGGCUGCUCUUGUGUAGCACUGGUUCUAUAUUAUAGAUUUUUCUUUUGUGUUACCUGGAUAUGUUGGCUACUGAGAAGCAUCUCCCAUCAAUACUACAAAACUUGCUUUUGGCCACACUAACCCUAGAAGACUUUACGGACUCCAGACUGGGUUUCUGUAGAAUUACUGUAUUGUUUCUGGGGAGAUCUCAAAUUUAAAUAAAGCUUUCAUCAGUGCUAAAAGA
rnacentral:lncRNA from 1 species